rnacentral:rRNA from 1 species
GACGAACGCUGGCGGCAUGCCUAACACAUGCAAGUCGAACGAGACCUUCGGGUCUAGUGGCGCACGGGUGCGUAACGCGUGGGAAUCUGCCCUUGGGUUCGGAAUAACAGCGAGAAAUUGCUGCUAAUACCGGAUGAUGACGUAAGUCCAAAGAUUUAUCGCCCAAGGAUGAGCCCGCGUAGGAUUAGCUAGUUGGUGAGGUAAAGGCUCACCAAGGCGACGAUCCUUAGCUGGUCUGAGAGGAUGAUCAGCCACACUGGGACUGAGACACGGCCCAGACUCCUACGGGGAGGCAGCAGUGGGGAAUAUUGGACAAUGGGCGAAAGCCUGAUCCAGCAAUGCCGCGUGAGUGAUGAAGGCCUUAGGGUUGUAAAGCUCUUUUACCCGGGAUGAUAAUGACAGUACCGGGAGAAUAAAGCUACCGGCUAACCUCCGUGCCAGCAGCCGCGGUAAU